rnacentral:rRNA from 1 species
UACCAGCUCUCCGAGUGGUGUGGAUGUUUAUUGGGCCUAAAGCAUCCGUAGCUGGCUGGACAAGUCCCCUGUUAAAUCCACCGAUUUAAUCGUUGGUGUGCGGGGGAUACUGUUCGGCUAGGGGACGGGAGAGGCAGACGGUAUUUUCGGGGUAGGGGUGAAAUCCUAUAAUCCCGGGAAGACCACCAGUGGCGAAGGCUGUCUGCUAGAACGCGCCCGACGGUGAGGGAUGAAAGCUGGGGGAGCGAACCGGAUUAGAUACCCGGGUAGUCCCAGCUGUAAACGAUGCAGGCUAGGUGUUUGGACGGCCACGUGCCGUUCUAGUGCCGCAGGGAAGCCGUUAAGCCUGCCGCCUGGGGAGUACGGCCGCAAGGCUGAAACUUAAAGGAAUUGGCGGGGGAGCACCACAAGGGGUGAAGCUUGCGGUUU